GACACAAACAGUGAGUCACAUUCUGCUUCUCAAAGGUUAUGUGAGGUGUCCUAAUACAUUGAAAGUGAUGUCAUAGCGGGUAUAUAAGCCUGUAGCAGGGAGCUGGCCAGCAAACGUCUGAGAGAGCUAGCAGACCUACCUGUGGAAGUGAAAGAUCAGGGUGCCAUAUCCAAUUCCCAUUCUCUGUUUCUGAGGAUACCAUAGACGCUGCACUGGAAAACAUGUUGUUUUGGCACAACCAGCCCAAGCACUACCAUCAGCAUUCAACUGCAAGUUAUAUUCGAGAUAUUUUGUCACCUUUCCUGAAACACGAUGAGGAAUGACACGCAACAGAAAAUGGAGACAAACUGUCUCCUUUUCAAUAUGUUCUCUGUGCAGCAACCUCGCCUGCUGUAAAACAGCAGGAUGAAACUCUGACUUAUCUAAACCAAGGUGACUCAUCAGUCCUCUUCUUUCCACCUCUGGGUUUGGGCAGGUGCCAUCUUUGAAGACUUGGUACUAUCAUCCAACUUCUCCCCUUCUGAACUUAGACACCACUACACACACCACUAAGUUCAGCUUACCCUACAACACACCAGCUUCAUCACACAACACAUCAUGUACCUUCUAGUUGUCUUAUUUGCUCUUUUUGCAUAUGUUUAUCUUACGUACAAUUCUGCUUUAUGGGACAAUUCUGCUUUCUGGGACUUAUAACAUUUUUACGUUGUUGAAAUGUAAAUCGAGUGUUUUAUCUUAUAGCAAGGAAAUUAGGACAAUCCUUUGUUUAUAUCUUCAGUAAGACACUUGUUGUUUGUUGUAAAGGAAACCUUGUUUAACUUUAUUUCAUUAUUUGAAAAAAGAACAAGUGGUAUAUUUGGUCUAUGAAUAACACCCAUUAGUACAACUCAAGUUGCCACUGUGUGCACAUUUUGUUGCAGGUUGUUAUAAUAUGUUGGUUCUAUGUUUGUUUUUUAAGUGAUUUCAAUUAUGGGAGUCAAGACUUUGACAUACCUUUGUCUAUCACCAUUGACAUUCAAUCAGUUGACUUUCUUUAAAACAAAGGCUGAUAUGCAUAUGCAAAAAUUAAGUCAUUUGAUUGAAUUUAGACAUGUCCGAAUACACAGCUUCAUCAACUUGAAAGUUCCGUGUCGUCAGGCUGUCAGGAAAGGACCGUCAGAUUUCGGUUGUGCUCAAUGAAGCAGUCUAACAACACUAGAAUGGAACAGGUGGAACUUGUACAAACAUAUGACAUGUUUGGUGUGUCUAUGGCCUUGGGCUCUGGGCAGCCAUGCAUGAGUCUCCGUGUAACAGCCUGAAAUGAACAGAAACAGGUUGUUUUUACAGGUUGUUCAUUUUACGAUUUGUUUUAUCUUAGUAGGUUUAGUGUGCAAUUAASUUAACCUAUUUAAUCCCAUCGGUCACAAAAGUGACCGUAAAAAACUUUUCGGUUGUAAGGCUCUAAAUCUUUU